rnacentral:rRNA from 1 species
AACGUAGGAGACAAACGUUAUCCGGAGUUACUGGGCGUAAAGGGCGUGUAGGUGGUAGAGUAAGUCUGGCGUGAAAUUUUUCGGCUUAACCGGGAAAGGUCGUCGGAUACUGCUUAACUAGAGGACGGUAGAGGCGUGUGGAAUUCCGGGUGUAGUGGUGAAAUGCGUAGAGAUCCGGAGGAACACCAGUGGCGAAGGCGACACGCUGGGCCGUACCUGACACUGAUGCGCGACAGCAUGGGGAGCAAACGGG